AAUGAACGCUGGCGGCGUGCCUAACACAUGCAAGUCGUACGAGAAAGGGGCUUCGGCCCUGAGUAGAGUGGCGCACGGGUGAGUAACGCGUGGGUAAUCUGCCCUUGGAUUUGGAAUAACUCCGCGAAAGUGGAGCUAAUACCGGAUAGUCUGGCUUUUUAACGAAGUCGGUAAAGGAUGCCUCUGCAUAUGCAUUCGUCCGAGGAUGAGCCCGCGUCUCAUUAGCUAGUUGGUAGGGUAAUGGCCUACCAAGGCAACGAUGAGUAGCUGGUCUGAGGGGAGGAUCAGCCACACUGGAACUGAAACACGGUCCAGACUCCUACGGGAGGCAGCAGUGGGGAAUGUUGCGCAAUGGGCGAAAGCCUGACGCAGCAACGCCGUGUGAGGGAUGAAGGCUUUCGGGUCGUAAACCUCUGUCAGAAGGGAAGAACGGGCAUUGGUCUAAUAGGCCUUUGUUCUGACGGUACCUUCAGAGGAAGCACCGGCUAACUCCGUGCCAGCCGCCGCGGUAACAC
rnacentral:rRNA from 1 species